GUCCACACAUGAGCAGUCACGGAUUGGUGUGUCCCGCGGGCUCCUUGCCUCUCUCAAUCAACCACCGAAGAGGCCAUCCUUCUUAGUUCUGUGCUCAUUUGUAUCUUUAGGCCAUCCUUUUUAGUCAUGUGCAUUGUGUGUGCCAUCUACCCAGCUCUGCAGGAAGUCAACGUACCCCAUGUGGCAGUUCACCUCACCACCUCGAGCGGGAGGCACAACCACAAUGUGGUCGUCGCGCGCACCUUAACGACACAACCCUUGGGCCCUGUGCUAGCUGGGCUCCAGAAGUAUCACAAGCUCUCGCGAAUGCAGCAGGCUUCGGGGACUUCGGCCCUCGGCCUAGACCUUAGUAGGUCAUUAAGCCACCCUCGUCGAGACAACGGUCGAUCCACCGAUGGGCCCCCUCCGCUCUCUAAGAAC
rnacentral:misc_RNA from 1 species